rnacentral:rRNA from 1 species
AACGAACGCUGGCGGCACGUUUUAAGCAUGCAAGUCGAAUGGCAGCAGGGGCAACUCUGUGAGAAUGGCGAACGGGUGAGUAACACGUAGGUGAUCUGCCUUGAGGAUGGGGAUAGCCUGUGGAAACACAGGGUAAUACCGAAUGAGCUGACGAGACUUUGGUUUUGUUAGUAAAGGUGCUACGGCACCGCCUUGAGAGGAGCCUGCGGCUGAUUAGCCAGUUGGUGGGGUAAGAGCUUACCAAGGCGACGAUCAGUAGCCGGCCUGAGAGGGCGUACGGCCACACAGGAACUGAGACGCGGUCCAGACUCCUACGGGAGGCCGCAGCUAAGAAUCUUCCGCAAUGGGCGAAAGCCUGACGGAGCGAUGCCGCGUGAUCGAUGAAGGUCGAGAGAUUGUAAAGAUCUUUUCUACAUGAGGAAUAAGUCUGGGAGGGAAUGCCCGGAUGAUGACGUUAGUGUAGGAAUAAGCCCCGGCUAAUUACGUGCCAGCCGCCGCGGUAA